rfam:Freshwater sediment metagenome lwFormaldehyde_BHFI7567_b1, whole genome shotgun sequence.
UCACAGGUGCAAGUCCUGUCUGGGGAGUUGUCGGGACACCCCAGUAGCUACCAAGACGAUCCGAAGGGCAACUGACUGGUCGAAGCUCUUGGGACAGAGGCCCACCGUGGGUGGGUCAGCAAGCCGGCGGGCCGCAACAUGU